GAGAGAGAAAGGAUGAAAUGAUCCCACAAAUAUAAUCUAUACUGAGUUACUUGCUGUCUAGGGGAGGGGAGGGGGAGCUCAAAAUCUUAGAAAAAGGAAUGUUGAAAACUAUCUUUUCCGUGGUGAUCAGUGAAAUAGGUUAUAGGGUCACAGGAUAAAAUAGUCACUGAAUGGAGAGAGAUGUGAGUAGGAAAUGGGUUAUGUCACUAGAAUGUCUGAGGCUGGCUCCAGGUUCAGGGCUCUAUCCUUGGGCUGCCCACUUGUGCUUAGCGUGCUGUAGCCAAGACCGCCUGGAUUUGAAUCCAGCCUCGGACUUCAUCUAACUGGCCUUCAGUUUCCUUCUCUAUAACUGGGGUGGCUGGCCUUCUGGCUCUGAAGAGACAUUACUGGGACUCUGAGCCGGGCUGGUUUCCCAAGUGCACACACCUUGGGACAGUCACAGAGCAGCUUAGGAAGCCCUGGCCUGCUGGCUUGAGUCCAGCCCACCCAUGCUAAGAUAUCCAGGUCAAGGUCAGCUUGGGCCUCAGAGUUCUGCAAGGAGGGCCAAAGCUGCGCCCUCCCCGGGAGGGUCACGUUGGCGUUCGUCAGUUGUGGACGACGGGACGGGAUCGUUUAAGCCACGUCCGUAGAGAGAUCAGAAAGGGGAGCCGAGGAGGCCGGCAGCGCCGAGACGCCCGCGGACGCACAGGAUCCCCUUAUCUCCAGAGGCCAGAGACAGGAAAACCAGUGGUUCCUUCCUGAGAGUGCAGACAUGUCCAGAACACAUGACAUACACAGCUGGGGCAGGCCUGGGCCCCACAGUUGCACUGAGAGAGCUCAGAAGCCCAGAGACCCUCUUUCCUCCUGGAGCAUCCCUCGGGAAAUUCUGCCUUCCCUCCUCCCAACCUCGCUGGCCCAACUGGCUUCGGGAAAAGCAGGAUACAGAAGCAGAAGAAAAGAUACCCACAUAGGGCCCCAAGCCCAGCCUGGCAUCCGGCCGGGGACACAGAUCCCCUUAUUCCCACCCUGCCAGGCUCGGGCCAGAAACAGCCGGCGGGACCGACCCCAGAGGGAGAAUGUCCGAGAGAGGGAACAUGGGACGACGGGAAGGGAACAGAGCCCCUUCUUCACCUGAUACGGAAAGGGUGGGGCCCCAGAGAUGGCACCUCAGCGCAUUUCCUCCCAACUACCUUCAUGGCCGCAGGUAUGGAAAACUGCCGUCACAAGACCCACCCUUCCUGGCCACCUACUCUAGGGGAAAAAAUAAUCCUCAGAGAUUAAGUAUCUUCUGGAAAAUCCUCUUCCCUAAAGCCUCCCAGCUAUCUCUUCCCCCGCCUUGGCCCUGGUCUCAGCAGGCAGGUUUCACCAUCCGCUUCUAUGGUCUCUAAGAGUUCUGGGCAAGGCACUCCCAAGCUCCUGAUGGCACAGGCCCUACCUGGGUGGGUGUGACCGUGUAGGUCUGUGGGUAUCCUCCAACACAGUUGGAUCUUUCCCGUCUCUAUCUGCCCCGUUUCUAAAGUGGGAACACUUGGGGGGAUGGGCUGGAAGGAAGUAAAGAAGUGUUGGGAUGGUAGGGGGACUUCCACUUGCCCGUGCCUAGCGGUGGGCAUGAUGCCUGGGGACGGGCAAUGGGGGAGGAGGAGAAGAAAAGGGCAGGCAGAAGAGGCUGUGAAAGGAGGUGACGGGCGGAUCUGCAGCCCGGCCGGGCUGGUUGGGUGGCUCUGGGGGAAGGGAGCCCGGAGCCUCGGUCCCUAGCCCGUCUGAAACCCCAGACCUCCGGCGUGGGGCAGCUGCUGGCCAGAAAAGCAUCCCCCUUUGCGCCCAUCUGCCUAUCCUGUGCCUCGGUGCUGGUGCCAGGCUCCUGCUAUCUCUGGGACAAAAAAGACGGACGGCACAGAUGGCACCGCGAGGAAUAGCCACUGAGCGUUUCUCUUCUUAUCUGCCCCCCUGCGAGAGGAGACAGCCACCUUCUGAAUCAAGGCCACUUGGAAUUGCCCUGGCAACUUCGGGGGGGGGGGAGAGGGAGGGAGGGUUAAAGCUCUGGCUGGUGUCCGUGCCGGGACUCGGGCUCCCACUUGCUACAGGCGGAUAACCAGCCCCCAAAAGCUGCAGCCUCCCUCCCCUUCAGCAGAAAAGGGGGCCCUUUCAGACCUUGCCAUCUGGACCAGUUGUCCGUCUCCCCGACCCCGAAGAGUUCCUAGUUUCCCUUGCUAGAUCAUGAUCUUCUGAGCUGAGAUGGGGGGAGCAGGAAGGGUGGGGCAACCUGCUCCCCAACUGAGCACCCCCAAAGCUGCUCCUGCCCCCCUACCAGCUGCCCACGGGCUCCCCCACGAGGCAAGGGCAUAUACCCACCUACCUGGGCAAGACUCCCGCAGGGGCAGAAAGGAGGGAG